rnacentral:lncRNA from 1 species
CGGGGUCAGGAAACGUGGAAGUGGGGUUGAUGCCGCAGUUACCAGCGGAAGUUUUGUUGGGGAAUGAUCUGGGGAGGUUCACGUCUGCUUUUGAGCCCCAGACACCCACCACAGGGGAAGCUCAUCCUGUGGCCACCAGACAGCAGGCCUGCACCCAGGACCACAACACACUACCGGAGGUUCAGGUAAGAGACCCUUCCCCUUCCCUUAACUGUGUCCCCUGGGCCCCCCCCUAAUGAAUUCACAGCUGAAGUAAUAACUGACCCUACGCUGCAAGUAUAUAGGGACAAGGUUAUCACUGACUCACCCGGGGGGGAGGGAGAGAGAUUUGUCUGGGACAAGCAGCUGUUAUACAGGGAGUCUGACAAGCAGAUAGCUGGGUCAGAUCCGAUAGUUAUGAGACAAUUAGUGGUGCCGCAGCGGUACCGAGCAGAGUUACUCCGGAUAGCGCAUGAUAUUCCGCUAUCCGGACAUUUAGGGGUCAGUCGCACUAGGUACAGACUGACCCAAAGUUUCUUUUGGCCAGGGAUCAGCCAGGAAGUGCGCAAGUAUUGCAGCACGUGCGAUACGUGCCAGAGGGUAGGAAAAAGGGGAGACUGAAGAAAGGCGAAAUUACACCUCCUACCCAUAAUUGAGGAACCCUUUAGCAGAAUAGCCGUAGAUUUGAUAGGUCCCCUCAGACCCGCCAGCGCACCUAUAUGAUCGGGGCGCCAGGGACUGUAGCUUUCAGGUCGGGCAGAAAGUGUUGAUUUUAAAACCUGUCCGACAUGACAAGUUACAGGCCGCCUGGCAGGGACUAUAUAGGGUGGUGGAACAGAGAUGUGACACCACCUAUAUAAUCGGUCCCUGCGCAGGAACUGGAGGGCGACGCAUGCUCCAUGUGAACAUGAUGAAACCCUACCAGGAACGCUCUGAGGAGGUAACCGCCAUAUGUGCGCCUAACUCUGACGAGUUUGACAGCCUACCUCUCCCAGACCUGCUGAGAGAUGGUCAGUUGUCUGGAGAUUUGGGGGGUGGUUGCACUGGGAGACCGACUGAGCCCACAGGAGCGUAUCGAGGUACAACAGCUAUUGGAGGAGAAGCGAGACAUGUUCUCUAAUGUACCUGGAUACACCCUUCUGGCCACUCACCGGGUAGAGACCCCAGGGCAACUCCCCAUGCAGCAGACCCCUUACCGCAUACCUGAAGCAGUGAGGGAGAAUAUGCGCAAGGAGAUCGAUGAGAUGCUCCAACUGGGGGCUACUGAGCCCUAGGAUAGUCCCUGGGCUUCUCCUGUAGUGCUCGUACCAAAGCGAGACGGUACGACCCGCUUCUGCGUGGACUACAGGAGAUUGAACGAGAAAACCGUGUCCGAUGCCUAUCCCAUGCCUCGGAUAGACUAACUACUAGACAGGAUGGCCAGGGGCCAAUACCUCACUACUAUUGACUUGUGUAAGGGGUAUUGGCAAAUUCCCUUGGCCCCAGACGCCAUCCCUAAGUCGGCCUUUGUCACCCCAUUUGGCUUGUACCAGUUUAAGGUCAUGCCAUUUGGGAUGAAAAACGCCCCGGCUACUUUCCAGCAGAUGGUGGAUUGACUCCUGGAUGGGUUCCAAGACUAUACCUGUGCCUACCUGGACGAUAUUGCCAUUUUUAGCAAUACGUGGCAGGAGCAUCGGACCCAUAUAGGAGCGGUUGUGUGGGUUGUGGCAAGCAAAAGCCCGAGCCAGCCAAAGUAGAGGCUGUAGCACAGUGGCCCACCCCUAGGACUAAGACCCAAGUGUUAGUGUUUCUAGGGACGGCCGGGUAUUAUAGAAAGUUCGUCCCCAAUUAUAGUGCCCUGGCCAAACCCCUCACCGACCUGACCCGUAAAAACCUUCCCCGCCAAGUAACCUGGACCCCGGAGUGUGAGCAGGCAUUCCAACAUCUGAAAAAUGCACUUAUCAAUGCCCUGUCUUGGCAGCUCCCAAUCCAACUAAACAGUUUCUUGUUCACACAGACGCUUCUAUGUUUGGAUUGGGGGCAGUACUGAGCCAAGUCGGGGCCGAUGGCGGAGAGCAUCCCAUGGCUUACAUCAGUCGCAAGUUA